UACGAAGGGGGCUAGCGUUGUUCGGAAUCACUGGGCGUAAAGGGCGCGUAGGCGGCCUGAUAAGUCGGGGGUGAAAGCCUGUGGCUCAACCACAGAAUUGCCUUCGAUACUGUUAGGCUUGAGACCGGAAGAGGUAAGUGGAACUGCGAGUGUAGAGGUGAAAUUCGUAGAUAUUCGCAAGAACACCAGUGGCGAAGGCGGCUUCCUGGACCAAUACUGACGCUGAGGUGCGAAAGCGUGGGGAGCAAACAGG
rnacentral:rRNA from 1 species